rnacentral:rRNA from 1 species
GACGAACGCUGGCGGCGUGCCUAAUACAUGCAAGUCGAGCGAAACUUUGGGAGCUUGCUCUCAAAGUUUAGCGGCGGACGGGUGAGUAACACGUGGGCAACCUACCUUACAGAUGGGGAUAACUCCGGGAAACCGGGGCUAAUACCGAAUAAUCCAUUUCUUCGCAUGAGGAGAUGUUGAAAGACGGCGUCUAGCUGUCACUGUAAGAUGGGCCCGCGGCGCAUUAGUUAGUUGGUGGGGUAACGGCCUACCAAGACCACGAUGCGUAGCCGACCUGAGAGGGUGAUCGGCCACACUGGGACUGAGACACGGCCCAGACUCCUACGGGAGGCAGCAGUAGGGAAUCUUCCACAAUGGACGAAAGUCUGAUGGAGCAACGCCGCGUGAGUGAAGAAGGUUUUCGGAUCGUAAAGCUCUGUUGUAAGGGAAGAACAAGUACAGGAGUAACUGUCUGUACCUUGACGGUACCUUACCAGAAAGCCACGGCUAACUACGUGCCAGCAGCCGCAGUAAAAC